rnacentral:miRNA from 1 species
ACUGGCUUGGCCAAAAAGUUCGUUUGGGUUUUUCCAUAGGAUGUUACGAAAAACCUGAAUGAACUUUCGGUUCAACCCAG